rnacentral:lncRNA from 1 species
UAACAAAAAAUACAUCAAAAAAGUCAUUUUAAAAUUAGAAGUAGUUCCAAUACUAUAAGAAAACUUUUUUUUUUUUUAAUUGGCUUCCUAUAAAAAUAAGUCGGCAAAUGAGAGAUUUCAAUGCUCAGUUGGAUUCCUGGAAAACACAGAACAGCUGCCAAGCACCCCACUGCUCUCAAAGUUGCUGUUUGGAACUUCUGAAAAAAAAGCAAAGCAAACCUCUGCAUUUUGGACAGUGAAUCCAAUUAAAAAUAAGGCAAGGUAGAAAGUGUUGCUUGGGUGGUUCAGGGUAGAACAUGCACAGUUUGCCUUCUGGGAUUUUGGAAAACGUUGCAGUAUCGGAUUUUUAGCUUGCCCUGAAUCUUACCUUCCACAUACAUCCCUCCCUACACACUCCUCUGACCUUAAGCCCACCAAACUCCUUGUGUGUUUGCACCUGCGAUUAGCGAGUAGGUAGGCACUUAGGUCCCUCCCAUUUGUAGGCUCUCAUUACUGCCUUCUGUUUGAGAUUCAGCUGGAAUGGCCUAGUACAAUGGUUCUCAAACUUUAGUAUGUAUCACAAUCACUGGGAGGGCUUGUUAAAAUAGGUGGCUGGGCCCACUGUCACUUAGCAACAGAGAACACCACUAUUCAUCCCCUAGAGUUUCUAAUUCAGUAGGUAUGGGGUAUGGAUCCAGAAUCUGGAUCUCUAACUAGCCCAAGUGAUAGUGAUACUGCUGAUCCAGGUACCACACUUUGAGAACAACUGGCCAAGGUCCUAAGAACAAUGAGGUCCUCCUCUCUGAGCAGCACCUUGCCUCACUAAUCUCCUACAGAUGGGAGGGAGCUUUGAGGAGAGGCACAUGAGGAUCCUGGAGAUGCUGAAUCUCUAGCUGGCCAUCUUUGGUCACUUCCCAAAAUGCCAGGUAUCUCAUGUCGACCUCUAUUUUUAAUUAGGAUUUACAGCCCAUUCUUCCCUAUGUCUUUCCAUUCAUUUAUUUCUUCAACAAAUAGUUUUCAUACUACUACUCUAGGCAAGGCACUGUGCUAGAAUAAGAGUGUUAUACCUCUUUCAUACUUUUCUAAUUAAAAUGAAUUGAACUGCAACUCUGAGGACUCCCUGUGCUGGUUUGAGUGAGCCUCUUUUGAUUUUCCAACACUUUGUCUUCCACAUUAAAUUUGGGAGACUCCAACUGAAGAGGAUCAAUGAGGAUGUUUCCUAUGAGAUAGGAAGCCUGGCAGGGAUAUUUGAAAAAGGCAGGUUCUAGAGGAAAAGACAAAGAUACAUGAAACUGAACCCUGCUGUGCAGGAUGCAGCAAGGUCCAUGGGCACAGAAGCUGGCAUGCUUGGGAAUGUACAAAACUGACAAAGGGCUCAGAAACUUGUGAGUAGUGGGGGCAGGGGCGGCACAGGCCAGGCCAGUAUUUAGGAAACGUCAGGGUUAAUGUCCAGAAUCUAGCAAUAUGUUUGGGAAGAAAAACUGAGAACAGUUGAAGGACAACUUACUUGGGGUUUGGAGGGAAGAGAUUCAAAGAUAUCAACAGAUCAUGGUCACACAUGGAUGACAAACAAAUGUGAAGACAGGACAAUGGGUAACUAAUGGGAUUCCAUUUCCUACUGCAGUUGGGGCAGGAGUAGGGAAAGCUGCAAGGGGAGGCAAUCAUGGUGGAAAGAGGUGAACAGGAAACCAAGGUCCGUUUCUGACAUGCUUUGCCUCCCUGCCUCCCUUCCUUCCUUAUUCUACCGGCACAAAGGGAUCUUCAACUCGCAUCUUUGUUCCUGUGGCCACAGAGAGUGCAGAAAGCAGCCUUGUGGCCACUGCUGACCAACAGAGCUACCAAAGCUAACUUAGAAGGGAAAUGACAGUAUGGAAAGUGGAACAGAGAAACAGCUCAGGGUUUCAAACUCCUGUGCACGUCUUUGUGUCUUAUGAAAGGAGCUGGGGUAGCUAAUCCACCCAUCAGCCUUUAAUGCUAAAAUAGCUGAUAAAUCUAGAGCCAAGAAUAUUUCCAAAAAUACAUGCAGAUUUCCUUGGCCUAUAUAUGUUAUGAAUUUUCUACAAACACGACCGAUCAGAAAAAAGAGAGAGAAGAAGAAAGAGGGAGAGGGGAGUGUUUUCCAUUAAAAUAGAGCACCUGUACACUGCCCCUCCAGACAUGUUCUCAGAGUAUUGUCCACAUGCACAGGCUUAAAGCUAAAAACCCUUGUUGUCUGUGUCUGAAGAAUUAAAAAGUCCCGAUGCAGUGAGUGUUUGUUUGUUUGUUUGGAUUUUGAUUGUUUAUA